CCAGGCUACUUGAAGGGAGCCGCCAGUUCUCCACCUAUUCCCCUACGGCGGGGGUCAUCUCUUUUUCUGUUUUUCGCGGGAAGGCCCAAGACGGUGAGAAGCUAUUGAAAACGCUUUAUUUCGCUUCAUUUCCAGGCCACUUGGCCCCCUGGGCCCCGAAUUUACAACUUCCACCAGGGGCAGUGCAUAAACUGCUUAGCUUCUCAGAAACUCUGGCCUGCCCAGAAUUCUUCUCAGGACGGGCCGAGAAGACAAACUGAGGAAAUGCCUUGCAAGGACAUGGGGAGAUGGCAGCUAGAGUCCUGACCAGAAACCAAAUCUGCUGGAAACUGGAUUGUGAACUUCUAGCCUCAGGAACUGUGUGACACAUUCUCAUAUGUUCCCACAGAAAGAGGGACAUGAUCAUCCUUACAGACUUUUACAACAUGCACAGUCUUCUCUACAAGCAGAUCUGCUGCACCAGAUGUGGGAACUGUCACCUUCUUCAUCAUACUGUACCUACAUGGAGAUCAUACUGGAGUUUCUCCCAUUUCACUGUCCCUGACAGACUAAUCUCUCGUCUUGCCACUAACAGCUUCUUCCUUAAUUCUACACUCUUUAUGUUAUCAGCAAGACUUCUGGUCAACAGUAGACUAUUAAUAGUUAGGUUAUGGGGUAUCAUUUAAGGGGUCCUAAUGGACCACCUUCCUCCUGAAUCAAGACUCUGGCAGGUUUGCCUUUAGUUUUACUUAGAACAUCUGGCUACACCUUACUAUUGCUACAGUGCCUACCUACAGAAAUUUAGAAAACCUAAUCUCUACCAUGCCCUGUUUAUUGCUAACAUGGAAAAAUCACAAAAGUAGCCUGGUGAUAAACCUUUACAUUAACAUAAUGUGCCCAGUUUACCCAAUUUUCCACUCACUAGUCUCCAACAAAUACCUUCUGACCUUGAUCUUCAUGUGGCUGGUUUUAGGCCAAUCUUUUGACAGUUCCCAUAUGGCUAUGCAUAUUUCCAAUUUUUUGGCAUGUUUCUUCAUCAUCUUCUUCAAAGCCUAGCUAUAUCUCUUGCAACGUAAGGUACUUUGUGAUACUAUCAUUCUCCAUUCCUUCUAUACCACUUUAGGUUACUUUUCUUCUAAACUUCUAAAACACAGUUGACUGUUAAACAACAUGGGAGGUUAGGGGUGCCAAGCCCCCCUUCCUUGUGGUUGAAAAUACACAUUAACUUUUGACUUACCCAAAACCUAACUAUUAAUAGUCUACUGUUGACCAGAAGCCUUGCUGAUAACAUAAAGACAUUAACACAUAUUUUGUCUGUUAUAUGUGUUAUAUACUGCAUUCUUAUUUAA